ACGGAGGGUCCUAGCGUUGUUCGGAAUUACUGGGCGUAAAGGGCGCGUAGGCGGCCUGUUAAGUCGGGUGUGAAAGCCCGGGGCUCAACCCCGGAACGGCACCCGAGACUGGCAGGCUCGAGACCGGGAGAGGAGGGUGGAAUACCCAGUGUAGAGGUGAAAUUCGUAGAUAUUGGGUGGAACACCGGUGGCGAAAGCGGCUCUCUGGCCCGGAUCUGACGCUGAGGCGCGAAAGCGUGGGGAGCAAACAG
rnacentral:rRNA from 1 species